GGCUCAGUAGCGGACGGUCCGCAUCUGUUGUCACUGUUCAGGAUGCUUAGUGAGUCAUGCAGAGGAAGCCUGUUCGACUCAGGCCUGAGCCA